UCCACGCCCUAAACGAUGAACACUAGUCGUCGGGAUGCUUGUCAUCUCGGUGAUGCACUUAACAGAUUAAGUGUUCCGCCUGGGGAGUACGGUCGCAAGAUUAAAACUCAAAGGAAUAGACGGGGACCCGCACAAGUGGUGGAGCAUGUGGUUUAAUUCGAAAAUACGCGAAGAACCUUACCUAGCCUUGACAUUGAUUGAAUUUUCCAGAUAUGGAGAAAUGCCCCUCGGGGAACAUGAAAACAGGUGCUGCACGGCUGUCGUCAGCUCGUGUCGUGAGAUGUUGGGUUAAGUCCCG
rnacentral:rRNA from 1 species